AGCAGCCGCGGUAAUUCCAGCUCCAAUAGCGUAUAUUAAAGUUGUUGCAGUUAAAAAGCUCGUAGUUGAAUUUCGGGGUCAGUAGGUUGGUCGUGCCACUGGUAUGCACUGGUCUCACUGAUUCCUCCUUCCUGAUGAGCCGUAAUGCCAUUAAUUUGGUGUUGCGGGGAAUCUGGACUGUUACUUUGAAGAAAUUAGAGUGUUUAAAGCAGGCUAACGCUUGAAUACAUUAGCAUGGAAUAAUGAAAUAGGACGAUCGAUCCUAUUUUGUUGGUUUCUAGGAUUGACGUAAUGAUUAAUAGGGAUAGUUGGGGGCAUUAGUAUUCAAUUGUCAGAGGUGAAAUUCUUGGAUUUAUUGAAGACUAACUACUGCGAAAGCAUUUGCCAAGGAUGUUUUCAUUAAUCAAGAACGAAAGUUAGGGGAUCGAAGACGAUCAGAUACCGUCGUAGUCUUAACCAUAAACUAUGCCGACUAGGGAUCGGAUGAUGUUAAUUUUUAAUGA
rnacentral:rRNA from 1 species